GAAUUAAAACAGUUUUUCAGGGAAAACAAAUACAACUUUGAAUAUUCAUGCUGAAGUAAAUAUUUCAGAAUAUUCAUGUGAUUAAAUGUGAAUAAAGUUUGUUUUAGGUCUAAAGGCUGUAUUUAAAUAUGUAUUACGUUUUUCUUUCUCGUUCCAGGCUGGUGGAGGUUCAUCUAUGUGCCGGUUGGAUUAGCAGCUCUCAUAAUAAUAGUUGUGGCCGUCAACAUUUGGGCAAGAAUUAAAGAGAAGAAAACUCCGAGGGAUGAAAUUGCUGUGCGUUAUGAUGAAGAAGAUGAAACGGUGAACUAUGAAAACAGCCGACCUCCUGAUGGAGUUUGACCAACACGUCAAAACGUAUUUCAACAGGCGGAAAUCAUCUGAAAUCGAGGUCCGUCUGAAUAUGUUCCACAGGGGGGAUGAAGCCUUCAUGAGAACCACUAAGAAAUGUGUUGGUGUUCAUUUCUGUGAAUAUCUUUCAGAUGAUAAUCAGUGCUUGUUGUGAAAAGAGUUUUAUUAAUCUGUUUCAGUCCGGUGUCUUUUCCUGCAUGAGUUGUGAACUUGUUUCUGACCUGUUCAGAACACAGCAGCUGGAUUUUAACUUCAUUUAACAGAAAUGAACAUUUAACUCUUAACUUGCUUAAUUUGUCUUCCAGCUGAACAUUUCACAGCUGAUCUUAACAUUUACUGUUUUAUUUGUAAAGCUACAGCAGCUUGAGCUCAGCUUCAUGUCUCUGUGAGCAGAAUAACUCAUUUUAAUCCACUUUCAUUCAGCAUUUACAUAUUUAUGAGGAUGUGUCUGUGUUUCAAUGGGUGUUCAGCCUCAAUGGAGUCAGUUACUGUCUUCUCUCUUUAUUAUAUCUGAUAACAAUAUAACCUGCAAAUAAAGAAAGUUGUAUUCUU